UAAUGUCAAUACAGCAGCAAAAAUAGAUCUAUUCUUAAUGACAAUUAUGGUGUUCCAGUCCCCCACAUGUCUGAGGUUCACGUACAUGAGGCACAUGGCCACAAAACAACAACCUCACUUGAGCACGGGGAGGAAAGGGAGGCCGAGGAGCAUAAAGUCUUCCAUAAGUCUGAGGGACACACACACGAGACUCAUGGCCACAAAACAACCUCACCUGAGCACGGGGAGAAAAGGCACGAGGAGGAGGAGCAUAAAGUCUCCCACAAGUCUGAGGGACACGUACAUGAGACUCACGGCCACAAAACGUCAUCUGAGAACGGGCAGGAGAGGGAGGAGGAGAAAGAAAGAAAAGUCGAGCACACAGUUUCCCACACAUCUGAGGGACAUGGACAUGAGAUUCAUGGCCACAGAGCAGCAGCCUCAUCUGGUCACGGGCAAAAAAGGGAGGAGGAGGAGGAGAAUAGAGUCUCCCAUAAGUCUGAGGGACAUGGACAUGAGACUCAUGGCCAAAAAAAAACAACCUCUUCUGGGCAUGGGGAGGAGGAGCAUAAAGUCUCCCAUCAUUUUGAUGGACAUGGGCAUGGACAUGAGACUCAUGGUCACAAACCAACAGCCUCAUCUGGGCACGGGGAGGAACAUAAAGUAUCCCAUAAUUUUGAUGGACAUGGACAUGGACAUGAGACUCAUGGUCAUAAACCAACAACCUCAUCUGGGCACAGGGAGGAGCAUAAAGUAUCCCAUAAUUUUGAUGGACAUGGACAUGGACAUGGACAUGAGACUCAUGGUCACAAACCAACAUCUGGGCACGGGGAGGAGCAUAAAGUCUCCCAUAAUUUUGAUGGACAUGGACAUGGACAUGGACAUGAGACUCAUGGUCACAAACCAACAUCAGGGCACGGGGAAGAGCAUAAAGUAUCCCAUCAUUUUGAUGGACAUGGACAUGGACAUGGACAUGAGACUCAUGGUCACAAACCAACAACCUCAUCUGGGCACGGGGUGGAGCAUAAAGUCUCCCAUAAUUUUGAUGGACAUGGACAUGGACAUGGACAUGAGACCCAUGGCCACAGAACAACAACCUCAUCUGGCCACGGGGAGGAGGAGCAUAAAGUCUCCCACAAGUCUGAGGGACACGUACAAGAGACUCACAGCCACAAACCAACAACCUCAUCUGGGCACGGGCAUGGGCAUGAGGGAGAGCAUAAAGAAGAAAAAGCUGAAAGGAAAGGUAUCUUGGCAAUGUCCUUGUAGAUGGUGAAGUUUACUAUGCAGUGCUAAACUUUUACAGCAAGCUGAGCUUAUAGCCAAAAAAUGGGAUCCUAGAAACUGAAAUAAACAGAAAUGUCUCAGUGACAUGACUGCCUUUGGAUCAAUUGAAGCUUAAGAAUGAACCUCACAAGAUAUUUUUUGCUUAUGUUCAUGAUAAUUGUGGUGUUUCAGUCUCCCA
rnacentral:lncRNA from 15 species